rnacentral:rRNA from 1 species
UACGGGGGGGGCAAGCGUUGUUCGGAAUUACUGGGCGUAAAGGGCGCGUAGGCGGUCUGUUAAGUUCGGUGUGAAAUCCCCUGGCUCAACUGGGGAACUGCGCUGGAAACUGGCAGACUCGAGUACCGGAGAGGAGAGUGGAAUUCCUGGUGUAGCGGUGAAAUGCGUAGAUAUCAGGAGGAACACCGGUGGCGAAGGCGGCUCUCUGGACGGAUACUGACGCUGAGGCGCGAAAGCGUGGGGAGCAAACAGG